rnacentral:lncRNA from 1 species
GCGGAGGCUUUGGCAGCUCGGGACUGAGUGCAAGAAUCAGCAUGAUUCUUCAGAGGCUCUUCAGGUUCUCCUCUGUCAUUCGGUCAGCCGUCUCAGUCCAUUUGCGGAGGAACAUUGGUGUUACAGCAGUGGCAUUUAAUAAGGAACUUGAUCCUAUACAGAAACUCUUUGUGGACAAGAUUAGAGAAUACAAAUCUAAGCGACAGUAAGACCUGUUGAUGCUAGUUCAGAGUAUCAGCAAGAGCUGGAGAGGGAGCUUUUUAAGCUCAAGCAAAUGUUUGGUAAUGCAGACAUGAAUACAUUUCCCACCUUCAAAUUUGAAGAUCCCAAAUUUGAAGUCAUCGAAAAACCCCAGGCCUGAAGAAAUAAAGUAAAAUUAAUCUGGUAAUUUGUCACGGAUUAGUUGUACAACUAGUUAGAAGUUUCAGAAUAAACAUGCAUUUCAUAACUGU